UUAUUUAUGAAUCAAGUAUAGAAUUCUCUAGAUUUCUAAUUGAAACAACUAUUUUUUAAAGGUAAAAAUAUAUAUAGGUGACUGACAAACAACUAAAUAUUUUGUAAUCCCAAAUCUCAAUAGCAACCAAACAUGUUUAAUGUUUAUAACUAGGUAUAUGUAUUUGUAUUAUUUUUUUGUUCGAUUUCAAGCAGAUUAUAAUAUUUUGGAAAUAUCAAAUAUCUUGGUAAGAAAUUUAUACAUAAUAAUAUAAUGUCUGGUGUAUUUAUUAUUUGUUUUCCUUUUUGGUUUCAGAGAUGAUAUUAAGUGUAAUCUGUGACAUUGCCGGCGAGGCCAUUUUGUAUGGCCUCGGCCGGUUUAUCGAUUAUGCCAUAAGGCAAAAUCAAAACUCGAUCGGCCGCAGACAAGAAGCGAGGACGUCGAAGGCCGAUAACUGCGACUCGUUUAAUUUAACAAUGGCCGGCGUUCCUGCUGAACCAGCCGUUGCCAGGAAAACUGGAAUAACUAAAGAUUUAGGAAGAGCAUUACCAAUGAUGGUCUAUGUUUUCCAUUGCUCCGAACAAAUGGAUUUUAGAGUAAAUUAAUCAAUCUUGACCGAAUUAAUUGUAUAAAAUAUUAUGCAUCUUAAAAGAUUGCCUUGAGAUAUUAGAUUAUAAAAUUUAAAUUUUAGGGGGUGGAUGGAAAUUGUUGCGAAUAUGAAGUUAUAAUGCGAGCUCUUCGAAAGCUCACCACUCAAAAAAUUGUAACUGAAGAUACUACUUUAUUUAUGGGACUCGUCGGUGAUUUGUUUAUUACGCUAGACGUGCCCCGAACACGUGAAUUAGAAUUUGAAAAUCAAAUUCGUCAAGCUAUGGUUGACUUGAAACUCCAGCAUAAGAAUAAUUUCAUUCUCAAGGUGUUGACGUUGGAAAUUAAUGAACGUAUUGCCCUAACACAG
rnacentral:misc_RNA from 1 species